CAUGCAUGUGUAAGCAUGAAAAAAAUCAAAUAGUGAAACUGCAAAUGACUCAUUAAAUUAGUUAUAGUUUGUUUAAUGGUAUCUGCUAUCCGGAUAACUAUAGUAAUUCUAGAGUUAAUGUAUAUAUAAACCCAAACUUUUGAAAGAGAUGCAUUUAUUAGAUAAAAGGUCAACAUUGGCUCUACCCGUUGAUCUAAUGAUUCAUGAUAACUCGACGGAUCGCACAUCCAUCGUGCUAGCGAUGCAUUACUCAAAUAUUUGCCCUAUCAACUUUUGUGGUAGGAUAGUAGCCUACCAUGGUGGUGAUGGGGGAUGGGGAAUUAGGGUUCGUUUUCGGAGAGAAAGCCUGAGAAAUAGCUAACACAUCUAAGGAACGUAGCAAGCGCGCAAAUUACCUAAUCUUGACACGAGGAGGCAGUGAAACAAAAAUAACAAUAUCGGGCUUUAUAAGUCUGGUAAUUGGAAUGAGUACAAUCUAAAUCUCUUAACGAGGAUCCAUUGAAGAGCAAGUCUAGUGCCAGCAACAACGAUAAUUUCAACUCCAAUAACUAAUAUUUAAGUUGCUGCAGUUAAAAAGCUCGUAGUUGGACCUUGAGUUGGGUCAACUGGUCUGCCUCUUGUGUGCACCUGUCAACUCGUCCCAUAUUUUCAAAUAACUAAUAUUUAGUUGGCCAAGUUAUGCCUCCAAUGUUGUUACUUUGAAGAAAUUAGAGUGAUAAGAAAGAUCCCAUAUUUUUUUUGUUGAAAAGAUGUUUUUAUUCAAAUAGAAACCUAAAAAGCAAAUUUAAAUUGGCUCUA
rnacentral:rRNA from 1 species